rnacentral:rRNA from 1 species
CUUGGUGCUUGCACCGAGCGGAUGAGUUGCGAACGGGUGAGUAACGCGUAGGUAACCUGCCUCUUAGCGGGGGAUAACUAUUGGAAACGAUAGCUAAUACCGCAUAAAAGUCGAUAUCGCAUGAUAUUGAUUUGAAAGGUGCAAUUGCAUCACUAAGAGAUGGACCUGCGUUGUAUUAGCUAGUUGGUGAGGUAACGGCUCACCAAGGCGACGAUACAUAGCCGACCUGAGAGGGUGAUCGGCCACACUGGGACUGAGACACGGCCCAGACUCCUACGGGAGGCAGCAGUAGGGAAUCUUCGGCAAUGGGGGCAACCCUGACCGAGCAACGCCGCGUGAGUGAAGAAGGUUUUCGGAUCGUAAAGCUCUGUUGUAAGAGAAGAACGAGUGUGAGAGUGGAAAGUUCACACUGUGACGGUAACUUACCAGAAAGGGACGGCUAACUACGUGCCAGCAGCCGCGGUAAUACGUAGGUCCCGAGCGUUAUCCGGAUUUAUUGGGCGUAAAGCGAGCGCAGGCGGUUAGAUAAGUCUGAAGUUAAAGGCUGUGGCUUAACCAUAGUACGCUUUGGAAACUGUUUAACUUGAGUGCAGAAGGGGAGAGUGGAAUUCCAUGUGUAGCGGUGAAAUGCGUAGAUAUAUGGAGGAACACCGGUGGCGAAAGCGGCUCUCUGG